rnacentral:lncRNA from 7 species
AGCCCAAACGAAAGCACCGAGAGCCAUGUCGGUACCAGACCUAGGAGCCUCACUGCGUUCCCGCGGAAGUGAUCGUGGUGGUCGCGCCUGGGUGUAUUGGCGACUAGACCUAGGAGCCUCGGCCAUUACUUCAUCUAGGGUACGAACACUUCCAUGGAAUUCGCCUUGGUAUCCUCUACAUGUAGAACCAGGAAUGGAGUUUGCCAACCGAGAGCAUGGUGGGGGUGAGGGCCGCCCAUGGUGCCGCCGCAGCUAAUAGGGCACCGCCGCCGCUGGCCGUCGUGAAGUGGGUGGUUUGGCCAUGGCUGUUGGCUGCUUGAUAAACGACCCCGAUUAGAUGCAAGAUACCCAUUUGGUCACACUUCAUCCUGACCGUUGAUCGAAUGGUGGACGUAUGAGAUUAGAUCCCGGCGUUUUAAAUCUGGAGCGCUGAUCUGUAAUCGAACGGGUGAUAUCGUGUACCACUUUAUAGCUCUCGGAGUAUGAUCUGGAUGGUCCGUUUUUAAUCGGACGGCUCAGAUUAUCCUGUACCCCUUCACCGUGGCAUUUUCAUUAAGAGCCCCUAUGUUUU